GACGAACGCUGGCGGCGUGCCUAAUACAUGCAAGUAGGACGCAGUUGCGAACGGGUGAGUAACGCGUAGGUACCUACCUAUUAGAGGGGGAUAACUAUUGGAAACGAUAGCUAAUACCGCAUACUAGUAGAUGGACCUGCGUUGUAUUAGCUAGUCGGUAGGGUAAUGGGCUACCUAGGCAACGAUACAUAGCCGACUUGGGAGGGUGACGGGCAACACUGGAAUUGGGCACGGGCCAGACCCCUUAGGGGGGGCGGAAGAGGGGAUCAUCGGCAAAUGGGGGAACCCUGACCGAGCACGGCCGCGGGUGUGAGGAAGGUUUCGGGUCGGUAAGCUCUGUUGUUAAGGAAGCGGUACUUAACCAGAAAGGGACGGCUAACUACGUGCCAGCAGCCGCGGUAAUAC
rnacentral:rRNA from 1 species